AGCGAACGCUGGCGGCGUGCUUAACACAUGCAAGUCGAACGAGGGCCGUAGCAAUACGGCUACUCGUGGCGGACGGGUGCGUAACACGUGGAUAACCUUCCUUCAGGUGGGGAAUAACCCAGUGAAAAUUGGGCUAAUACCGCAUAACAAAACGAGGGCACAUGCUCUUGUUUUCAAAGGCGCAAGUCGCCAGAAGAGGGAUCCGCGGCCGAUUAGCUUGUUGGCGGGGUAACGGCCCACCAAGGCAUUGAUCGGUAGCCGGACUGAGAG
rnacentral:rRNA from 1 species